rnacentral:rRNA from 1 species
CAUUAAGUAACGGCGAGUGAACAGGGAUAAGCCCAGCACCGAAGCCUGUGGCCGUUUGGCCCCUAGGCAAUGUGGUGUUCAGGUCAGCUCGCGGGGAUACUGCUCCACCCUAAGUCCUAUAAUGAGUAAGGUUACUCGGACGUGGCCCACAGAGGGUGAAAGGCCCGUGGGGGUGGAGACUCAGUUUGGCCAGUAUCUUCCUGAGCAGACCUUGGAGUCGGGUUGUUUGUGAAUGCAGCCCAAAGUGGGUGGUAAACUCCAUCCAAGGCUAAAUACUUGCACGAGUCCGAUAGCGAACAAGUACCGUGAGGGAAAGUUGAAAAGUACUUUGAAGAGAGAGUAAACAGUGCGUGAAACCGCUCAGAGGUAAACGGGUGGAGUUGAACUGCAAGCUCCGAGGAUUCAGCUGGUGAGAUUGGCAUGAGCUUGGUCAUGUGGGUUGUAUGUUCGGGUCUGCUUAGCUGCAGGUCCUCGCCUUUGGUGGGGAUGCGCGUAUCGCUUAUCAAGCGUUGUGCGCCCGGGCUUCUCGAGCCUUCUCGCUAGUGCACUUUCUCGGAGUGUUCACCACGACCGGCGUUGCUGUCUGGCUGGUGCGGUUAAAACCGGUCUUGUAAGGUCCUCGUGGCCUUGCUUGGUCGGGAUGGCAGGUAGCCCGUUGUGUACUUCGGUGUGCUUCGGGUGUAAUAGCCGACUGCAUCGGUUCUGUGCGGUACGUCGGAGACGGCGGCUUGUUGUGCGUGCGGGCGUGCCUGUUGCGCUGGCGGCUCUGAGUCUGGUUGCCUUGUUGCUUGUAAAUGCAGGCCUGGUGAUGGCUCGGGGUCGUUUGGUGUGCGGUUGCGUUCGUGGCACUUUAAAGGGCCUAAAGUCUGUGGUGUAGUGGUAGACUAUCCACCUGACCCGUCUUGAAACACGGACCAAGGAGAGUAACAUGUGCGCGAGUCAUUGGGCGUUACGAAACCCAAAGGCGAAGUGAAAGUAAAGGUUCGGCUUGUCCGGACUGAGGUGAGAUCCUGUCGUUUCUCACGCCUGGUACUACCAAGCAUCGAGCGGCGGGCGCAUCACCGGCCCGUCCCAUGGCGUAGUGGCGGCCUCGUGCCUGCUCAUCGUCGGGGCGGAGCAUGAGCGUACAUGUUGAGACCCGAAAGAUGGUGAACUAUGCUUGCGCAGGUUGAAGCCAGAGGAAACUCUGGUGGAGGACCGCAGC